AUUGAACGCUGGCGGCAGGCCUAACACAUGCAAGUCGAGCGGUAGAGAGAAGCUUGCUUCUCUUGAGAGCGGCGGACGGGUGAGUAAUGCCUAGGAAUCUGCCUGGUAGUGGGGGAUAACGUUCGGAAACGGACGCUAAUACCGCAUACGUCCUACGGGAGAAAGCAGGGGACCUUCGGGCCUUGCGCUAUCAGAUGAGCCUAGGUCGGAUUAGCUAGUUGGUGGGGUAAUGGCUCACCAAGGCGACGAUCCGUAACUGGUCUGAGAGGAUGAUCAGUCACACUGGAACUGAGACACGGUCCAGUCUCCUACGGGAGGCAGCAGUGGGGAAUAUUGGACAAAGGGCGAAAGCCUGAUCCAGCCAUGCCGCGUGUGUGAAGAAGGUCUUCGGAUUGUAAAGCACUUUAAGUUGGGAGGAAGGGCAGUAAAUUAAUACUUUGCUGUUUUGACGGUACCGACAGAAUAAGCACCGGCUAACUCUGUG
rnacentral:rRNA from 1 species